rnacentral:lncRNA from 1 species
CUCAAGUGGUCAUAUGGUGACUGAUUUUAUUUUCUGCUUUAUAUUUUUCCUUAUUUUCCAAAUAGUCUACACUGAACACACAGCCAAGGAAUCAAAGUUCACUUUCAGAUCAAAGGGAUUCUAUUCAGUGUCAGCCAGAAGGAGAGGCAGCUGGUCCCACACCCUGUGGGCAGGAAAGCACAAAGCACGGACCCAACCUGAUGAAGUCUGGUCUCGAGGAAUCCCCAGUCCAGUCCACGGAUGGUCACCAGGCUCCUCCCCAACCAUCCCUCCUCCUUCUCCCCUGGAAGGACCGCCUCCAAAGAGAGAGGGGCACACAGGGUCCUGGGCGGCUUUGAUGAGAGGGCUCCUAUUCAGAAGAGCUGAGCUGUGGACAUCUGUCAUGGACCCUCCCUCUGAUUCUCCUGGUGGGACCACGCCCCUGCAUCACAGCCUUCAGGCCACACAGAAGCCAAUCCUGGGGCAUGAGGCUGGCCACUGGAGCUAGAUCACAG